CUUUGAGAAACAGCUGACUACAGAAAUGUUUCAGGAUGAUUCAGAAAUCAAAAACAGAAGCCUUCAGAUUACAUCUCAGCACCGAGAGAGAGAGAGACGAUGCAGAAGAUGACAUGUCAGGUGGAUUAUGGAAAAUCUCUGGCUCGCAGUUACCUUUCUGAGCUUUGAGGUUACUGAAGCCCUGUAAAGUAAAGCGCUUUUUAGCCACAGCAGCUCUGUCUGAGGUCGGGCUUGUCACACCCUCAUCUGACCCAGAUGGAAAGCAAGGAGACGAGACAGACGGACAAAAAGAAUUAAGGAAGAAGAAGAGCAGGGCCUUCUCGUGGAGGAAGAGGUGUCUCUGCAUGGGCUUGAAACGGGCCAGAUCCUUAACCUUGGCGUGGCCUUUCUUGUGCUCGGUCCACACACUGAAUGAUCCUUGCAUAAGCAGUUUACC